rnacentral:rRNA from 1 species
AACUUUUAACGGUGGAUCUCUUAGCUGGUGCAUCGAUGAAGAAUGCAGCCAGCUGCGAUACCUAGUGUGAUUUGCAGAAUUCAGUGAAUCAUCGAAUCUUUGAACGCAAAUGGCGCUCUCCGUUAUACCAGGGGCGUGUCUGUCUGAGUGUUG